rnacentral:ncRNA from 1 species
GAAGAUAGAGGUGCGUCUUUCAAGAGUAACGGGUCGUGAGGCUGCCGCAGCUGAUAACCGUCCGCAAAAGGGGAAGUCGCCGAAGGCGAUGUGUGGCAAGCGUCCGCCUGGGGAUGUUGGAAAUACCAGCAUCACUGUCAUCAUAUCCGUUAUGAUGGAGCGCUAUCGGU